rnacentral:rRNA from 1 species
UACGGGGGGGCAAGCGUUGUUCGGAAUUACUGGGCGUAAAGGGCUCGUAGGCGGCCAACUAAGUCAUACGUGAAAUCCCUCGGCUUAACCGGGGAACUGCGUCUGAUACUGGAUGGCUUGAGUUCGGGAGAGGGAUGCGGAAUUCCCGGUGUAGUGGUGAAAUGCGUAGAUAUCGGGAGGAAUACCAGUGGCGAAGGCGGCUUCUUGGCCUGUUCUUGACGCUGAGGCGCGAAAGCUGGGGGAGCAAACGGG